UCUCAUGCCUUUUACUGCUCUUCCAGCCACAGAGGAUGCUCUUUGCCACUUUGACACUAUGAUCCACAAGGAGCAAGGGCAGCAAGUGUAGGAGCAUUUCCAUCAGAAGGAUGAUGGAGGCAGGAUGCAUCACCGCUUACUGGCUCAGGCCAUUUUAAGAAAAAAACAACAGAGAAACAAACAAACAAAAAACAGCAUACUAUUAAAGCAGGGCAUGUGUUUCGGAGGUGGCUUGGGAGAUGAGAUGAGAUACUGAACCUAGAGUUUGAAGCUUGGUUGUGGGUUACUGUGAUCCGGCAUAUAACUUUCAGGAACUGCGUGGGUCACCAACAUGAAAAUACCUCCCCUUUUUUCUUCAGCUAAUCUGCAUUAAAACAAAGGUUAUAUUGUUCUAAGUACUAUCUCAUGUCAACAAUUACUGGGGCCCAGAGUUAGCUCAGCGAGGAGGGUUUCUGACAGUCCUGCUUACAGGCUCCAGACAGAGGCUUUCAACUUAAUACAGCCAAAAAGGCUUGCAGCCCCAGCCAGAACAAAUGAUGUAUGGCGAGCUCAGAAGAGAAACACUGUUCCCUACGACAUGCCAGAGCCUUCCCCACGUGGCUCCUGCGACGGCAUGGUGAGGCAGAUGAAAUCUCUGGGACACAAACCCGUCUUUCUCAGUGCUGGUUCUACGUCGUUAGGUUUCCUCCCAUUUCAAACAUCCAUGUCUGUUAACAUAGUAAUACACUGACUUGACGUCUGGACUUUGGCAAAAGGCAUGCGAGACCAACAUCUUGGGAAGGGAAUAGGAAGGCAUGUAUGUGAGUCAUGCACUCUCUUUUUACUUUUUUUUUUUUUUUUUUUUUUUUGCUUGGAUUUUGUUUUUCCACCUUUUGUAUGGUCUAUUUUCUUCAUAUAUCUGGUGGGUUAUUUACAGAUAAAAACUAAACUGUAAUACUAAAAAUUCUGUCUCUGUUUUCACAAGCCUUUUGGUGGCUAAAUUGCACAUGAAAUGGAAAUCCCAACUUUUGCCCUUGUAAUAACAUAUCUGAAAUCCAUGUCAGACACUAACUCCUUCAGAUUUUAUUCUUCUGCAUACCCCUCAUUUGUACACAGAAAUGUCUGGAUCAUCUCCUGUCUCCAUCCAGAUUUAGUAGCAGAGUGCUGCAGUGGGACUUCUCACUGUAAUACUGAGCCUUCCUGCACAUAUUCUGUUCUAUUGAUUUCACUGACAUCUCAUUAAAAGUUAUUUUCAUUCCUCUGUUUUUAAGAAAUGUUAAUAGCGUAUUAGUUUGGUGCUGCUGAAGGGACUCUACACAAAAACCUUUGACAGUAAGAUUGAUAGACCUUAAUAUAUUACUUACCAAACUCUUUAAAGAUAAUAUUACUUUUCAAAGAACUAGACUUCUUCCAAGCAGCAUCUUUUGCCCAGCCAUCUUGUUAUACAAACAUGUCUGUGGCUUUGAAAUGGAAAUAAUUUAUUCUAAAUAGCUAUAUUUUGAUUUCCCUGGGCCCCAUAAGA